CGGGUGAGUAACACGUGGAUAACCUACCUAUAAGACUGGGAUAACUUCGGGAAGCCGGAGCUAAUACCGGAUAAUAUAUUGAACCGCAUGGUUCAAUAGUGAAAGACGGUUUUGCUGUCACUUAUAGAUGGAUCCGCGCCGCAUUAGCUAGUUGGUAAGGUAACGGCUUACCAAGGCAACGAUGCGUAGCCGACCUGAGAGGGUGAUCGGCCACACUGGAACUGAGACACGGUCCAG
rnacentral:rRNA from 1 species